CCUACGGGGUGCAGCAGUGGGGAAUAUUGCGCAAUGGGCGCAAGCCUGACGCAGCGACGCCGCGUGAGGGAUGAAGGCCUUCGGAUUGUAAACCUCUGUCAGCAGGGAAGAACGGUCACUGUGCUAAUCAGCAGUGAAUUGACGGUACCUGCAAAGGAAGCACCGGCUAACUCCGUGCCAGCAGCCGCGGUAAUACGGAGGGUGCGAGCGUUAAUCGGAAUUACUGGGCGUAAAGCGCUCGUAGGCGGUAUGUCAAGUCAAGGGUGAAAUCCCCGGGCUCAACGUGGGAACUGCCUUUGAAACUGGCAAGCUGGAGUGUGUGAGAGGGUAGUGGAAUGCCAGGUGUAGGGGUGAAAUCCGUAGAUAUCUGGAGGAACAUCGGUGGCGAAGGCGGCUAUCUGGCACAUAACUGACGCUGAGGAGCGAAAGCGUGGGUAGCAAACAGGAUUAGAUACCCCUGUAGUC
rnacentral:rRNA from 1 species